rfam:Cellulophaga algicola DSM 14237, complete genome.
GUAACUGCGAAGUUACAUCUGAAGAAAGCGAGACUACAAAACUCGGUACUGACGAACAGGAACCGUAUACAGAGGCAUAUUCAUCUGGGUAAGCAAGCACAUCAUUGUAACGCCCCAAGAUUACAAAAAGGUAAGUAUGUAGAUACGGCAGGGAUGGAGUGAAACCUGCCUGC